AGACAGACACACGCGCACAUCUACAGUGCAAUCUGUCGGUGCGCACAUAAUCCCCGGCCGGCAGCGCCUAACUGUUUCGUGCACCGGUGCCUUUACAUGCCCACACGUCGAUCUUUAGUGUGACCGCCACUGAGACAGUAACGCAAUGCCAGAGAAUAUUCGCUACCGCUUCUUCUUCAAGGGCAAGAGCUACUUGAUUCCGAAGGACUACAUCGACAAUGAACACCCUGGUGGAAGCGAUGAAAUCAUGCCCUACGUCGACAAGGACAUGACGGACGCAUUUGAGGACGCUGAUCACUCGCUGAAUGCCGUGGACAUGCUCGAGGAGUGGUUGGAUGAGGAGUAUGACCUUGGCAUCCAGCCUGACCCGACCGCGGUGGCUUCCCCGGCGCAGGAGGGGGCAAAGACGGCGGGGCCAGCCACGGAGGCGUCACCACCAGCGGCUGCAGCUACCCCCGCAGUGCGUAUAGCAACACCAACAGUCUCGACGGCACCAGCGGCUACCGCACCAACAACCGCUAGCGAGCCCUCGAAGUCGAAGCUGUUCGUGCCUGUCGCGGCCACUGCUGCCGCAGUGGCUGUUUUGAUGGCAUCUGCUACGCUUGUGUACGUUCGAGUCCCCAAGAGGAGGUGAUGCUACUCGAGUUCGGCGGCACACUAUCCCUGAUGGACGAUAUUCACAUGAGCGCAUCGCAUUCCCGGGCCUCUGUAUCCGGGAUGGCAGCUAUUGUGGUCCUCUUUCCCAUUGCCGUUUGGCGUCCACUCCGGGGCGAGAUUUUGCGCCCGCUUCGUCGCGUUUCUCUCGUUCCCCGGCACACCCCCUAAGCGUUUGCUUGUCAACACAUGUCGCAUAAGUGUGCUUCCGGCACCCGCACGGCUCGUCGUAUUGCUGUCUUGCCACCACCCUCCCCCACCUUGUGCUCACGGCGCUGCCUUGCAGGAAGCGGACGUAAAAAAAGAGGUUACCACACUUGCAUCGGUAUGUAUAUUUCUUUGCCGUUGUUGGCUUUCCUGUAGGCCCUCCACG
rnacentral:misc_RNA from 1 species